GAUGAACGCUAGCGGGAGGCUUAACACAUGCAAGUCGAGGGGUAUAGGUAGCAAUACUUAGAGACCGGCGGACGGGUGCGUAACGCGUAUGCAACCUGCCUUAUACAGGGGGAUAGCCCGUGGAAACGCGGAUUAACACCCCAUAGUACAUUUUGGCUGCAUGGCUGAGAUGGGAAAACUGAGGUGGUAUAAGAUGGGCAUGCGUCUGAUUAGCUUGUUGGUAAGGUAACGGCUUACCAAGGCGACGAUCAGUAGGGGUUCUGAGAGGAUAAUCCCCCCACACUGGUACUGAGACACGGACCAGACUCCUACGGGAGGCAG
rnacentral:rRNA from 1 species